GAUGAACGCUGGCGGCGUGCCUAAUACAUGCAAGUCGAGCGAACAGACGAGGAGCUUGCUCCUCUGACGUUAGCGGCGGACGGGUGAGUAACACGUGGAUAACCUACCUAUAAGACUGGGAUAACUUCGGGAAACCGGAGCUAAUACCGGAUAAUAUAUUGAACCGCAUGGUUCAAUAGUGAAAGACGGUUUUGCUGUCACUUAUAGAUGGAUCCGCGCCGCAUUAGUUAGUUGGUAAGGUAACGGCUUACCAAGGCAACGAUGCGUAGCCGACCUGAGAGGGUGAUCGGCCACACUGGAACUGAGACACGGUCCAGACUCCUACGGGAGGCAGCAGUAGGGAAUCUUCCGCAAUGGGCGAAAGCCUGACGGAGCAACGCCGCGUGAGUGAUGAAGGUCUUCGGAUCGUAAAACUCUGUUAUUAGGGAAGAACAAAUGUGUAAGUAACUAUGCACGUCUUGACGGUACCUAAUCAGAAAGCCACGGCUAACUACGU
rnacentral:rRNA from 1 species